rfam:Ixodes scapularis strain Wikel colony gcontig_1108379411676, whole genome shotgun sequence.
GCCUGGUUAGCUCAGUUGGUAGAGCGCUCCACCUGUAAUGGAGAGGUCCCGGGUCCAAUUUCCGGACCAGGCU